AUUUCCAUGGAAUAGUUAGUAAAGUUAGCAUGCAGUGGUGAUCAGCUGCAGAUGAUAAGUUAGUGUUGAAUCUAUUGUUUAAACUGAUGAUGAGGAAUGAACAGGAUGCUGAUUAUUAUCCAGACAGAAAUGUUUGAACUCAUGAAGUUUGUUUGAUUUUUACAAAGUGGUGUCAAAGAAAGUGGUGAAAGUGAAGUUUGAGAACAAGAAGAAUCUGGAUCUGAAUGACCCUGCUGUGAUGGAGGCCAUGUUGAAGCAGCUGAAACAGAAGCUGAGGGACCAGGGGCUGGACGACAACAUCAAACUGAGCUGGAGGAAGCAGGCCGAUGGAAAAGUCUUCCACAAGGAAGACAAGAAGACAAACAAGAGGAGGAGGAAGAGGGAUGAGCUGUAAUGUUGAGUUGCUGCGUCUGUUUUCAUCAGAGAAAAGUCUGUUUCUUUGCAAGCAGAAAUACUAAAUAUAUUCACAGCUUUCAGCUUCUCAAA